UCCACAGUUUCUCUGAGCAACCUGUGCCAGUCAAGUGUUGGCUUCAAAUGCUGUCAUAGCUAAAGCGGAUGGUGAACUGUGGGACCUGUAUUGUCCACUGGAGGGAGAUUGUACUCUAAAGCUGCUGACCUUUGAUCAUGAAGAAGCAAAAGCUGUUUAUUGACAUUCAAGUGGUCACAUUCUUGGAGAGGCCAUGGAAGGAUAUUUUGGGGGCUGCUUAUGUUAUGGACCAUCAACUGAGAAUGGAUUUUAUUUUGACAUAUAUAUUGAAGAGGUGUAUCUAGUACUGAACUCCCACUACUAGAGAACUGCUGUAAAAAUAUCAUAAAAGUGAAACAGGCUUUUGAAAGGCUGGAAGUCAACAAGGAGACCCUGUUAGACAUGUUUAAGUAUAACUUUUAACUGUCAUAUGCCUAAUGAGAAGGUGAAGACACCAACUACCCCAAUAUACAGGUACAGAAAUAUGCUUCUAAGAUAUUGUAUUUUUAUAGUUUAUUUAAAUUGAGACAGGAAUAAAUUGGUUUUUUGUUUUAGGGUUUUUUUAUUUUUAUUCUAACUUCCAAAUUCUUGUGUGAUUGGGACUUAGGUUUGCAAUUAAUAUUGCUACUUUUGUAAAACGAGGUAUUUUCUUUCUCUUGGGACAGAUUAGG